GAUGAAUGCUGGCGGCGUGCCUAACACAUGCAAGUCGAGCGGCAGCGCGAGAAGUUUACUUCUUGGCGGCGAGCGGCGGACGGCUGAGUAACGCGUGGGAACGUGCCCCAAAGUGAGGAAUAACUGCCCGAAAGGGUGGCUAAUGCCGCAUAUGAUCUUCGGAUUAAAGGAUUUAUCCGCUUUGGGGGCGGCCCGCGUUAGAUUAGGUAGUUGGUAGGGUAAUGGCCUACCAAGCCGACGAUCUAUAGCUGGUCUGAGAGGAUGAUCAGCCAGACUGGAACUGAGACACGGUCCAGACUCCUACGGGAGGCAGCAGUGAGGAAUCUUCCACAAUGGGCGAAAGCCUGAUGGAGCAACGCCGCGUGCAGGAUGAAGGCCCUAGGGUCGUAAACUGCUUUUAUAAGUGAAGAAUAUGACGGUAACUUAUGAAUAAGCACCGGCUAACUACGUGCCAGCAGCCGCAGUAA
rnacentral:rRNA from 1 species